rnacentral:rRNA from 1 species
UGGGGAAUAUUGCACAAUGGGCGAAAGCCUGAUGCAGCAACGCCGCGUGAGUGAUGAAGGCCUUCGGGUUGUAAAGCUCUGUCUUUUGGGACGAUAAUGACGGUACCAAAGGAGGAAGCCACGGCUAACUACGUGCCAGCAGCCGCGGUAAUACGUAGGUGGCAAGCGUUGUCCGGAUUUACUGGGCGUAAAGGAUGCGUAGGCGGAUUUUUAAGUGAGAUGCGAAAACCCUAAGCUUAACUUGGGGACUGCAUUUCAUACUGGAAAUCUAGAGUGCGGGAGAGGAGAAUGGAAUUCCUAGUGUAGCGGUGAAAUGCGUAGAGAUUAGGAAGAACACCAGUGGCGAAGGCGAUUCUCUGGACCGUAACUGACGCUGAGGCAUGAAAGCGUGGGUAGCAAACAGGAUUAGAUACCCUGGUAGUCCACGCCGUAAACGAUGAGUACUAGGUGUAGGAGGUAUCGACCCCUUCUGUGCCGCAGUUAACACAAUAAGUACUCCGCCUGGGAAGUACGAUCGCAAGA